GACAGGGGGCUCGAGCGUUAAUCGGAAUCACUGGGCUUAAAGGGUGCGAGUAGGCGGGCCAGUAAGCGUCUUGUGAAAUCCCCCGGCUCAACCGGGGAACCGCGGGGCGAACUGCUGGUCUAGAGGAAGCUAGAGGCGGGUAGAACGAUAGGUGGAGCGGUGGAAUGCGUAGAUAUCUAUCGGAAUGCCGAAAGUGAAGACAGCCCGCUGGGGCUUUCCUGACGCUGAGGCACGAAAGCGUGGGGAAGCAAACGGGGAUUAAGAUGAACCCCGGUAGUCCCCGA
rnacentral:rRNA from 1 species